AACGUAGGACACAAGCGUUAUCCGGAGUUACUGGGCGUAAAGGGCGUGUAGGCGGAGAUGUAAGUCUAUUCUGAAAGCUCCUGGCUAAACUGGGAGAGGCGAAUGGAGACUGCAUAUCUAGAGUGAGGAAGAGGAAAGUGGAAUUCCGCGUGUAGUGGUGAAAUGCGUAGAAGAUGCGGAGGAACACCAGUGGCGAAAGCGACUUUCUGGUCCUUAACUGACGCUGAGGCGCGAAAAGCAUGGGGGAGCGAACGGG
rnacentral:rRNA from 1 species